UUCACGGCUUCUGUGUACUUCAUUUUCCCUGCGUCCCAGGUUGUGAUAGAUGCUCCUCCAGGGAUCCGCGAUCAUAACCCAUAUUUCAACUCCGAACGCAAUUUUCUGACCAGACCUCCUAUAAAAUGUAGUUUAUUCUUAAUAAUACUUUCCACUUUCAUCUCCAGCCCUGCAAGUGCUUUACAAAUGUUAAAUAAUUAACCCCCACGACACCCUUGGGAGAGAGGUAAGCAUUAUUAUCGCUAUUUGUAACAGAAGCACUGACAGAGCCUUCUGUGCUAUAGCCCCGCCAGCCCUUGGUUUAACUCACUUUUAUGGAGCAGCUCAGGUACUUACAUCACCGGCAGCAAAUACACCUGCCGCAGGGAAUUUGUAGUGAGAAAGCCGAGUCGUACUGUCCGGGCACAUUUUUAAAUAUAUCCACUGCAUUUCAUAAAUGACUUCGCAGUUAGAAGCACUGUCUAGCUAUCCCCUGGCACUUUUUUUUUUCUUUUUUCUUUUUCCAAGUGGGGCAUUUAUUAAAACCAAAUCUAUUCGCUCACCCCAUCUUGUGCUGUUUUUUUAAACAGGCGUCUUCUUGUAAAAAUAACGCCCCGUUAAUUCAUCUUCGCUCCCCUCUUCUAGAGGUGCGUGCUGCUGGAGUCGGGGGAGGAAGAAAGCAUCCUGCAGGCAUCCUCUCCCCGCUGAUUUUAUCAGCUUCUCGUCCUGACAGCUGCUGCGGCAUUGGGGUUGGACGCCCGAGCUCUGCAUGUUCGUUCAGAUGUCUAGCAAGAAGUUUGCCAGAUGGCAAAAGGAGAGAAUGAAUAAAUCCGAGACAGCACAUCUGCAGCAGCUUCCCAAGGCCGGCCCACAAAGGCACGCCAAAGCGCAGCUGCGGACAGCAAACAGGAUCCGUGCACGGCCAGAGAGAAAACACGCUGAGAAGGGAUUGCUUUGGGGCAGAACUUGGCCAAGAAAAUUGAUGCAAGUGAAGCAAACCCCAAAGGUUCCUAUAACCGCCCCCACCCCAAACAGAUCUGAGCCCCUUU
rnacentral:lncRNA from 1 species